rnacentral:rRNA from 1 species
AACGGCUAUACCAUGCUGAAUAUACAGGUUCUCAGAUCACCGAAGUCAAGCAUCAUUGGGCGCGGUCAGUACUUGGGUGGGUGACCACCUGGGAACACCGGGUGCCGUU